GAGAGGAAGGAACUGGGCAGCGUGUGGGAGCUGGCUGAGGAUUUUCUCAGGGAAAAGCAGGCGUGCCCUUGGGAAGAGUCCAGAGACUGACUUGAAAGUCUGCCGGCGGCAGUCAUGGCAGCCGGAGGAGCUUCAGGUGCUGGGAACAGUGACAGACAGGCCUCUGGAGCGUCCCAUCUCGGAGGGAAGACAGAGGGACGCAGAACCUGGUGACGGCACCCCCAGCUGCCUCCGUGCCGGGACAGUUGUCAGCGGCCUGCCUGGAAGAAAGGCCUGCUGACACGGUGCAGCCUGCAGCCCGCACAGGGAAGCGCUGAAACCCACCGGGUUAUGUGGGUGCAGAGCCAGGCUGUGGGGAAGCUCACAGGUGUGCCUGUUCCUCCGGCCUGGGGCCUCUGGGCCCCUGAGGGAAUCGGGUCAUUCUUCAUUUGAGCCUCAUUUUUAAACAUCAAAAGUUUGUCAUCUACAGAAACUUGGCAAAAAAUAAAGUACUAUUCCGUUUGCACGUUGCUACA